GACGGGGGAUGCAAGCGUUAUCCGGAAUCACUGGGCGUAAAGCGUCUGUAGGUGGUGAUGCAAGUCACUGGAGCAAAACUCUGGCUCAACCGGAGAAGAGCCAGUGAAACUGCAUGACUAGAGUGUGGGAGAGGUAGAAGGAAUUCCCUGAGUAGCGGUGAAAUGCGUAGAUACAGGGAAGAACACCGGAGGCGAAAGCGUUCUACUGGAACACAACUGACACUGAGAGACGAAAGCUAGGGGAGCGAAUGGG
rnacentral:rRNA from 1 species